rnacentral:sRNA from 1 species
GUUUGCACUUGUCGGGGAAGGGUGAGAACCUUCGAUUAAGGUUCGACUCGAGCGAAAGCGAGAGAACGUUGCCAACGGCAACGGCCCGUAGGGUG